CGAUUACGGCUCAGUAACACGUAGCUAACCUACCCUUAGGACGUGGAUACCCCCGAGAAAUUGGGGUUAAUCCGCGAUAGAUGUAAUGUCCUGGAAUGGUAUUACGUCUAAAGGUAUUUCAUACAUGUUUGAAAUAUGCCUAAGGACGGGGCUGCGGCCGAUCAGGCUGUUGGUGAGGUAAUGGCUCACCAAACCUUUGACCGGUACGGGCCAUGAGAGUGGUAGCCCGGAGAUGGACACUGAGACAAGGGUCCAGGCCCUAAGGGGCGCAGCAACCGCGAAACCUCCACAAUGCACUCACGUGCGAUGGGGCUAUCUCGAGUGCCACCUGAUGAAGGUGGCUUUUCCUUGGUCUUCAAAGCCUUGGGAAUAAGAGGGGGGCAAGACUGGUGUCAGCCGCCGCGGUAACACCAGCCCCUCGAGUGGUGGGGAUGAUUAUUUGGCCUAAAGCGUCCGUAGCCGGCCGAGCAAGUCUUCCGUUAAAUCCAGCGUCUCAAGCGUUGGACCGCGGGAGAUACUACACGGCUAGAGAGUGGGAGAGGUCAGCGGUAUUCUGGGGGUAGGGCAGAAAUCCUUAGAUCCCCGGAGGACCACCAGUGGCGAAGGCUG
rnacentral:rRNA from 1 species